rnacentral:tRNA from 1 species
GGUGGCUUAGUGGUAAAGUGCUUGCCUUGCAUGCAGGAGGCCCUGGGUUCGAUUCCUCAGUACCA